rnacentral:rRNA from 1 species
UACGUAGGGGGCAAGCGUUGUCCGGAAUUAUUGGGCGUAAAGCGCGCGCAGGUGGUAGAAGAAGUCAGGUGUGAAAGGCUGCGGCUCAACCGCAGAGCGGCAUCUGAAACUGCUUUACUUGAGUGCAGGAGAGGAGAGUGGAAUUCCCGGUGUAGCGGUGGAAUGCGUAGAUAUCGGGAGGAACACCAGUGGCGAAGGCGGCUCUCUGGCCUGUAACUGACACUGAGGCGCGAAAGCGUGGGGAGCAAACAGG